rnacentral:rRNA from 1 species
UUCCGUUAGGGGGGCCUGCGGAGGGAUCAUUACCGAGUUUACAACUCCCAAACCCCUGUGAACAUACCUUAUUGUUGCCUCGGCGGAUCAGCCCGCUCCCCGUAAAACGGGACGGCCCGCCAGAGGACCCAAACUCUAUUGUAUUUAGUGUAUCUUCUGAGUAACACAAACAAAUAAAUCAAAACUUUCAACAACGGAUCUCUUGGUUCUGGCAUCGAUGAAGAACGCAGCAAAAUGCGAUAAGUAAUGUGAAUUGCAGAAUUCAGUGAAUCAUCGAAUCUUUGAACGCACAUUGCGCCCGCCAGUAUUCUGGCGGGCAUGCCUGUUCGAGCGUCAUUUCAACCCUCAAACCCCCGGGUUUGGUGUUGGGGAUCGGAUUGCCUAGUCAAUCCGUCUCCGAAAUCUAGUGGCGGUCUCGCUGCAGCCUCCAUUGCGUAGUAGCUAACACCUCGCAACUGGAACGCGGCGCGGCCAUGCCGUUAAACACCCAACUUCUGAAUGUUGACCUCGAUCAGGUACGUAUGGCCCCCCG